rnacentral:rRNA from 1 species
AGAGUUUGAUCAUGGCUCAGGAUGAACGCUAGCUACAGGCUUAACACAUGCAAGUCGAGGGGAAACGACAUCGAAAGCUUGCUUUUGAUGGGCGUCGACCGGCGCACGGGUGAGUAACGCGUAUCCAACCUGCCCACCACUUGGGGAUAACCUUGCGAAAGUAAGACUAAUACCCAAUGACGUCUCUAGAAGACAUCUGAAGGAGAUUAAAGAUUUAUCGGUGAUGGAUGGGGAUGCGUCUGAUUAGCUUGUUGGGCGGGGUAACGGCCCACAAGGCGACGAUCAGGUAGGGGUUCUGAGAGGAACGGUCCCCCCANAUUGGAACUGAGACACGGUCCAAACUCCGUACGGGAGGCA